rnacentral:rRNA from 1 species
GACGAACGCUGGCGGCGUGCUUAACACAUGCAAGUCGAACGAUGAAGCCGGAGCUUGCUCUGGUGAAUUAGUGGCGAACGGGUGAGUAACACGUGAGUAACCUGCCCUUGACUCUGGGAUAACUGCUAGAAAUGGUAGCUAAUACCGGAUACGACCCUCGGCGGCAUCGCCAGGGGGUGGAAAGAAUUUCGGUCAAGGAUGGACUCGCGGCCUAUCAGCUAGGUGGUGAGGUAACGGCUCACCAAGGCGACGACGGGUAGCCGGCCUGAGAGGGUGACCGGCCACACUGGGACGGAGACACGGCCCAGACUCCUACGGGAGGCAGCAGUGGGGAAGAUUGCAGAAUGGGCGCAAGCCUGAUGCAGCAACGCCGCGUGAGGGAUGACGGCCUUCGGGUUGUAAACCUCUUUUAGUAGGGAAGAAGCGAAAGUGACGGUACCUGCAGAAAAAGCACCGGCUAACUACGUGCCAGCAGCCGCCGUAA